AGUGGCGCAAGGGUGAGUAAGGCGACGGUAACCAACCCCAUGAUUGGGUAUAGCCGCGGGAAACCGCGGGUAAUCCCCAGCGACGCACGGCCUCGGCAUCGAGGCCUUGCCAAAGCUCCGGCGUCGUGGGACGGGCCGUCGUGGUAUUAGGUAGUUGGGGGGGUAAUGGCCCACCAAGCCUACGAUGCCUACCGGGCGUGCGAGCGUGGCCCGGCACACUGGGACUGAGACACUGUCCAGACUCCUACGGGAGGCUGCAGUCGAGAAUCUUCGGCAAUGGGCGCAAGCCUGACCGAGCGACGCCGCGUGGAGGAUGAAGGCCUUCGGGUUGUAAACUCCUGUCGAGGGGGAGGAAGGGGCAACCUUGACCGAUCCCUGGAGGAAGCACGGGCUAAGUUCGUGCCAGCAGCCGCGGUAAGACGAACUGUGCGAACGUUAUUCGGAAUCACUGGGCUUAAAGGGUGCGUAGGCGGUUUUCUAAGUCACGUGUGAAAUCUUCCGGCUCAACCGGAAAACUGCGCGUGAUACUGGAUAACUUGAGUGAGGUAGGGGUGUGUGGAACUUCCGGUGGAGCGGUGAAAUGUGUAGAGAUCGGAAGGAACGCCAGCAGCGAAAGCGGCACACUGGGCCUUUUCUGACGCUGAGGCACGAAAGCUAGGGGAGUGAACGGGAUUAGAUACCCCGGUAAUCCUAGCCGUAAACACUGAACACUGGAGGACGGGGGUUUCGGCCUUCGUUCUCGUAGCGAAAGCGUUAAGUGUUCCGCCUGGGGAGUACGGUC
rnacentral:rRNA from 1 species